ensembl:lincRNA
UACCGUGUUUCCUAAGAUUAUGUCAUUUUCCUCCAUGUUAAAUUCGAAUGUCUUUGAAAGGAUGUGAGAAAAUCAAGUGUAUUAACACAUUUUUUAUAUCCAUGUUUUUUUCCAAUACAAGUUUUUUCUAUUUUCAAAGAGAGCUGGGAAAGUUGCAUGCUUUCUUGUAUUUCUUCGAUUGAAAGCGUUCUGUCCAGUGUGAGUUCUUUCAUGUGUUCUAAUAAACUAGAGCAUGGGAUGGCUUUACCACAUUUCUUACAUGAGAAUAAUGUUUUUGAAGAUGGCCCAGUGAACUAACAUUGUCUUGUGUUGGUUUUGUUGCAUUUGUCAUUUCCCAGGAAUGAGUUGGAAAGGCAAUUCUUGAAGCUAAUUAAUUAUAAUAUCCAAGUUCCUGGCAGCAUUUACACCAAAUACUACUUUGAUCUUUGCACUUUGGCACAGGACCAUGCUGUUUGCCUCUUUAUCUCCUUGACAGAGAAAGAACACGGAAGCCGGAGGUAAGACUAUGAAGUUACUAAGUGGAUUUGCAGUCAGCAGUGCCAACAUCUGUGACUAAGUCAUAUUAAGUUGUGAUUAGAAAAAUGGAAAGCUUCAGCCCAGUGCAGUGGCUCAUGCCUGUAAUCCCAGCACUUUGGGAGGCUGAGGCUUUUUCAAGGAUGGGAAAAGACAGAGACGUAUGUAGUGCUGCCAAGAACAGGUCUUUGAGUGCUGAUGAUUUAACUAAUCUUGAGUGCGCUAAAGCCGUCCUCUCCUGAAGGAAGAAAUGAGGGGUAAUGUAACAUCUGCACCCCUCAUCUAAAAAGACAGGAAAAUACCACCUCUCCUGCUACAGAACUAGAAAACUUAAUACGAAACACCUCAAUUCAAGUUAACUCAAGGACAACUAAGACCUUGUCAGGGCAACAACACACUCUUACACUCUUCUGUCUGUUUUAAUGUAAACACAGUUACAGGUGCCACUCCAAAGUGAAGGCUCCUUCUGCCUAUGCACAGAGACUUCCUUAGUGUGUGGGCUGAUAGCUGUGAAUUAUGUAAGGCUUUUAAAACAAUAAAAGCUUUUUAAAUGUUAAAGAUAACUUUUCUGUUUCUUUCAUAUUUUUUUCUCCCAAUAUUGCUGCACAUGCAUUUGGAAUCAAUGCAGUAUUCCUAUUAAAACAUGGGACUCAGCUGGGUGUUGUGGCUCAAGCCUGUAAUCCCAGCACUUUGGGAGGCUGAGAUGGGUGGAUCACAAGGUCAAGAGAUCAAGACUAUCCUGGCCAGCAUGGUAAAACCCUGUCUCUACUAAAAAUACAAAAAUUAGCUGGGUGUGGUGGCAGGUGCCUGUAGUCCUAGCUACUCAGGAGGCUGAGGCAGGAGAAUCGCUUAAAUCAGGAAGGCAGAGGUUGCAGUGAUUCAAGAUCAUGCCACUUCAUUCCAGCCUGGACAGAGGGAGACUUUCUCUGAAAAAAAAAACGUGGGACUCUAACAACUCCCAAAGCCAGUAGGAGCAGAUGCAGCAUUGUCAGGGAUUGAAGGGCUCUUCCUUCCUACUCUCACUUGAUAUGUCUUAAAGCAUUUUUGUAAGUUGCCUUAACCAUUCACAAGUUGGUUUAAUUCAUGCCUGUGUUUAAGAUAUAAUUUUUUUUUGUUUGCUUAAGCUCUUUUCAAUUUUAAGAUAAUUUAUUACACUUAAAAUCACUCUCUGGCCACAAUACUUAGUAACAUAGUGCAUUAGAUGGCAUCUUUGAAUAGUUGAUUAUUGUGUCUGAGAGGAAAAACACAUUAGAACAUAAAAUUAAAUAUGCCAAAGAGAAAGGAUUUUCAGGAAUACCAUGGAAUUAGAACAAGGGUGUUGGAGGUUUUCAAACAGUUACACAGAAAAAAAAAGUAAGUACAGAAAGUAGAAUUAAAGUUUCUAUACAGAGGGUGACUUAAGCUUACAUUUUAGUUAAAAAUAAAUCACUGGCUUUUUUUAGAACUAAUCUAGCCACUCAUUUUCAGUGAUUCUCACUAAAUCCUGAUAAUAUUGGUACAUUUUUUUCCAGUUUAAUUUUUUCAUUUUAAAAAAAUUCCUUAGAAUUUAAGGUAAAAUCUUCAACUUAACAUCUUAUCUUGAUAAACUGCAGACUAGAAUCAAUGAUCUGAUGUAACUUAGAAGAAAAAGUCAAUGAUGAAUCCUUAUUUAUAAGAUGGUUUGCACCUUAUUAAUAUGACAUUAACUAGAAGUUGUGACAUAUAUGAGUGGUCAAAUAUUUAAAAACCAGUUUGGCAAAGGGACAUUGGACAUAAAUCCUUGACUUCAAGAGU